AGUGCAGUCGAACGAUGAUGCCCAGUCAUUGCUGGGUGGAUUAGUGGCGAACGGGUGAGUAACACGUGAGUAACCUGCCCCUGACUCUGGGAUAAGCGUUGGAAACGACGUCUAAUACUGGAUAUGAUCACUGGCCGCAUGGUCUGGUGGUGGAAAGAUUUUUUGGUUGGGGAUGGACUCGCGGCCUAUCAGCUUGUUGGUGAGGUAAUGGCUCACCAAGGCGACGACGGGUAGCCGGCCUGAGAGGGUGACCGGCCACACUGGGACUGAGACACGGCCCAGACUCCUACGGGAGGCAGCAGUGGGGAAUAUUGCACAAUGGGCGAAAGCCUGAUGCAGCAACGCCGCGUGAGGGAUGACGGCCUUCGGGUUGUAAACCUCUUUUAGUAGGGAAGAAGCGAAAGUGACGGUACCUGCAGAAAAAGCACCGGCUAACUACGUGCCAGCAGCCGCGGUAAUACGUAGGGUGCAAGCGUUGUCCGGAAUUAUUGGGCGUAAAGAGCUCGUAGGCGGUUUGUCGCGUCUGCUGUGAAAUCCCGAGGCUCAACCUCGGGCUUGCAGUGGGUACGGGCAGACUAGAGUGCGGUAGGGGAGAUUGGAAUUCCUGGUGUAGCGGUGGAAUGCGCAGAUAUCAGGAGGAACACCGAUGGCGAAGGCAGAUCUCUGGGCCGUAACUGACGCUGAGGAGCGAAAGCAUGGGGAGCGAACAGGAUUAGAUACCCUGGUAGUCCAUGCCGUAAACGUUGGGCGCUAGAUGUAGGGACCUUUCCACGGUUUCUGUGUCGUAGCUAACGCAUUAAGCGCCCCGCCUGGGGAGUACGGCCGCAAGGCUAAAACUCAAAGGAAUUGACGGGGGCCCGCACAAGCGGCGGAGCAUGCGGAUUAAUUCGAUGCAACGCGAAGAACCUUACCAAGGCUUGACAUACACCGGAAACGGCCAGAGAUGGUCGCCCCCUUGUGGUCGGUGUACAGGUGGUGCAUGGUUGUCGUCAGCUCGUGUCGUGAGAUGUUGGGUUAAGUCCCGCAACGAGCGCAACCCUCGUUCUAUGUUGCCAGCGGGUUAUGCCGGGGACUCAUAGGAGACUGCCGGGGUCAACUCGGAGGAAGGUGGGGAUGACGUCAAAUCAUCAUGCCCCUUAUGUCUUGGGCUUCACGCAUGCUACAAUGGCCGGUACAAAGGGCUGCGAUACCGUAAGGUGGAGCGAAUCCCAAAAAGCCGGUCUCAGUUCGGAUUGAGGUCUGCAACUCGACCUCAUGAAGUCGGAGUCGCUAGUAAUCGCAGAUCAGCAACGCUGCGGUGAAUACGUUCCCGGGCCUUGUACACACCGCCCGUCAAGUCAUGAAAGUCGGUAACACCCGAAGCCGGUGGUCCUAACCCUUGUGGAAGGAGUCCGU
rnacentral:rRNA from 1 species